GGAGGUUGAUAGGUUGGGGGUGUAAGGGCUGCGAGGCCUUUAGCUGACCAAUACUAAUAAGUCGAAGUUUUAACCUUACCUGAUAUUACUAUAUAGUUU
rnacentral:rRNA from 1 species